GAUGAACGCUGGCGGCGUGCCUAAUACAUGCAAGUCGAGCGAACGGACGAGAAGCUUGCUUCUCUGAUGUUAGCGGCGGACGGGUGAGUAACACGUGGAUAACCUACCUAUAAGACUGGGAUAACUUCGGGAAACCGGAGCUAAUACCGGAUAAUAUUUUGAACCGCAUGGUUCAAAAGUGAAAGACGGUCUUGCUGUCACUUAUAGAUGGAUCCGCGCUGCAUUAGCUAGUUGGUAAGGUAACGGCUUACCCAGGCAACGAUGCAUAGCCGACCUGAGAGGGUGAUCGGCCACACUGGAACUGAGACACGGUCAAGACUCCUACGGGAGGCAGCAGUAGGGAAUCUUCCGCAAUGGGCGAAAGCCUGACGGAGCAACGCCGCGUGAGUGAUGAAGGUCUUCGGAUCGUAAAACUCUGUUAUUAGGGAAGAACAUAUGUGUAAGUAACUGUGCACAUCUUGACGGUACCUAAUCAGAAAGCCACGGCUAACUACGUG
rnacentral:rRNA from 1 species